rnacentral:lncRNA from 1 species
AAACCAGAAGAGAAGAGAAACCAAGGAAGAACAAACCCUAGGUGGGAAAAAUCAAAGAGAAAGUGUUGGAAUUCAAGGAUUUGAUCAAGUAAAGGUAAAAUUUCUUUGAUUUUGCUAGUGAUUUACCUUACCCAUGCAUUUCUCCUUAAUUUCUAUGGUUGAAAAGCAUGCUUUCAUGGUGAAUUCAUGGCUGGUCAAAAUGGGUAUGGAGAGAGAAUGAUCUUGGAUUGGUUUGAUUUUUAGGUAUGUUAGGUGAUUAAUGAUGUGUAGCAUGAAAACAAGUGAAGAAAACCAUAAAAGGUUUGGUGCCCAUCAAUAGCCGAAUUCUCUAAGUGAAUAAUGAGGAAGAAUGGGAUGUUAUUCUAGGUGACUUGAUUAAGAAAUAAUAGUUUUUGGUGAAUUGAGGAAUUAGAAAAGAAAUGGAGCAAGUUGGAGUGAAAUUAGACGCAUUGGCCAAUUUAUCGGAUGAAAAAUCGACUUAGGCCAAUACCGAGUCUAGAUGGCUACCCGUGCAUUUUUCAAUUCAUAUCACGCAUAUAUAUCGAGCUUGAAAUAGCUUAUGACUGUUAGACACAAUUUAAUUGGAAUAUGUGUCAUAGAUUAUGGCUAGGUAGUGAGCCAUUAGAUACGGAUAAAGGACUGUACCCGCGGACUGAAAAUAAGAGUAUUUAUACUCCUAAUACUGUGAGUGGACAAUUUAUCGUCUUAAAUAUCUAGAGUAAUUAUACUUGUUUGAUGCUUUUAUUGAAUGGUGAGUUUAAAUUAUAAAAUAUUAUGUUUUUCAAUUAAAAUGUUUUUUAAUAAAAAUGAGAUUUAUAUUGAUUUUGAAAUCAAAUAUUGUUUUGGGAAAAUUGAGUAUAUGGAGACUGUGUUGAAUUUAUGAUUUUAUAUAUUAUUAAAAUUGUGGCUUAUGACACUAUGGUAGCAUGAUGGCUAAAUUUUUGGAGUUGGCAUGAAAUAUAUGAACAGUUUUGGAUUGGUGUCGGUAGACUGGAUAAAAUUUUAUUCGCUAUAUUAUGCUAUUGAAAAUUUUAUGGGUCUGGUGGUAUAUUAAACGGUCACUGUAGUGGUGGGGGUUUCCGUGGACUGUUUAUGAGAGGGGCACAAUAACCCAAUUAUAUACUUACCUCCGAGGGGAGAUGUUGGAUAAAGUAUCUCCUGAGGUAAGAUUUGAGUGCACCUCACGUUCGGGCCACCACGUGAGAGUGAGACUCAACCAACGCAAGAAACGGUUGUGUGUCAGAUGCGAAAACAUGUUUAUGGGUAUGGGACAUUUAACAGCCUUGGCGGUCUCAGUGGGAUACCUUGACGAAGGUACCAGCGAGAAUGAUUCUGAUAGGGGCCAAGUUUAAGAAACUCAUAAGCCGGGGAAAUUUUGAUGAAAAGAAAUUGUUUGGUGUAGAUUGAAACGAAUUUUGUGUUAUGAACAUUAUUGAGAUAUAAGGUUUUUAUAUUGUCUUCGUCUACUCGGUUUUAGAUGCUUUUGAUGGUAAUUGUUUACUCAUUGGGAUUUUGUAAUCUCACCCCUCUUCCUAUCCAUGUUUUUCAGGCUCAGGAUAGUUUGUUGAUAGUUGAUUAAGACGAGAAUUAAUCUCAGAGUUGCAUCCUAGAAAGUAAGGGUUCGUAGCCCUACACCUUCUUGGUCAAUUGGGGGCCCA